UCACCCGCGGGCUUGUGGCCCGACGGAAGCCCUGCGGCUGCCGCACUUCUUUCCCUCCUCCUCCUGCUAGUCUCUUACCUUUUAUUCUCUCACUCUCGUUCUCUCAUGCAGGGGCGGACGUGUAGCCUCCCUCACGAGCUGAUCCCUUCCCUCGCGCCUUUUCUUCCGCUCCACAGAUGUCCUUUGUGUAUAGAGGCCUGCCGCGAAGCGAGCGGCUCCUUCCACUGGAGUCCACAGAUGUGCUCGGCUCGACGGAUUCGUUUCUCCUGCACGUCCUUCACCGUCGCCACGACGGAGACGGGGACGCAGGCGAUGCGCCGUGGCGUAGCAAGCGGCUGCGCGAGCACGUCUCGUUGUACUGGGAUCAGCAGCACACGUACCACUUUUAUCAACGCACGCUACUGCACGGGGUGAGAUCGACGCGCGGCCCGGUGCGCUUUGCCGGUUUUCCGCAAGUGCGGACUGCGCCGGAGCGCACAGGCGUGGCGUCAAGAGCGGCACACGCUCCGGAAUUCGAUCGCGCCGAGUGCAGCGGAGCACGAGUCUCAGCAAAUGACAGUGCCUUCCCGCCGUCUCAACGUGGCGCGGAAGCCGCCGCAGCUGCAUCCUCAUCUCCGCCACUAUCCGUUGAGGGCGCGUUGCCGCCGCCACGCUCGCUCGCGGCGUGGAACUGGAUAUCUCUGGUUGCUCCGUACGAGCGGCUGCUGUGCCCCUCGCUUCUGUACAGCGCAUUGCUUUCUCCCUCUGUCGGCGGCUGCACAUCUCUAUACUACGCCACACGGCAACCAUCGCCAGCACCCGAGGCUGCUUCUACACCUGCUCCCGCUGGGUGCGCGCGCGCGCGGUGGAGCACGCACACGUGCCAAUCCUUAUGGGCCUUGCACUCCUUUGCUGCCGAGGCUUCGAUACCGGUGCAGGAGAUGUACGUGAUGUGCGCGGGCACGAUCAUAUACCUCGACCUCAUCAUGACAGCUGGCAGGGUUUGGUCCGAGCUCGAGGGGCUGUGGGGCAGCAACCUCAUCGUCGAACUUGAAAGAGAAAACGAGACGGUUCGGACGGGCUGCCCUGACAACAGCGAAACCGAGACGCGCCUGCAGCUGAGCUCGUUGAAGUCGUUCCUCUCUCAGCCUCCGCAAACAUACGCAGCUAUGCUUCAGCACGUGCGUGUCUUGCUGGAAGCUCUCGCAAGCACCACCACAGCAGCCACAAGCUCCAAUGAGCCCGCGGCGCCCGAAGCGGCGAGCACUGCUCUCCCUCGCCCUCUCGCGCCGUGGCUUGAGGCUGCUAUGGGGAAGGAACUGUGGACCUCUGCCCCAGAUACCUGGGCAGCCGGCAGCGACAGCAGUGGUGGCGAUGCGAGCUCCGUUGUAGUACAAACUCUGAGGCACGCGGUUGCAGAGUGGCUGUCGCGGAGAGGCGCCACUGUCACCGCCACCACACCAACCGGCAGCCGUGCAGCGCCGCUGCCACCGCGCGAUCUUUGCCUGUCGCGAGGGUCGAACCGCGGUGUGUCCGCCUCUCCCAAGUUAGCCAUGCUUUCCAACUGCUACUCCGCGCGUGCAGGGUCUCCCACGCCGCGUGCGGGCACAAGGCGGCAAUCUAUGACUACCGCCGUUUCCAUCACCUUCGAGCCCUUCGAGCCGCACGAUACACCUCGCGAUCAGCACCCCUUCUUUCUUCCGCCACUUCCUCAAGACCCUGCGUUCAUCGCCUUCGCUGUCGUGUGGAGACGCACGCUGCGGCGAUGCGUGCUGGAGCCGGACAUGCUGCGGCAACGUCUACGCCAGGUGAUCCUCGGCUAUGCAGGUCAGCGCUGUGAGGAGCUCCUUCGCGAAGCAAGGCAACAGCAGUUGCAGCGGCGGCAAUCCGUGGACUCGUUCACUGUAGCCGGACCACGCGAAGGGCCCUUGUCGACAAGUGCAUCAGCAGACCACCCAGACAUCAUGGGCAAGAACAGCGCCGCCGCCGAUUCCGCUCUUGGUGACGCUACGCUCACAUCUUUGCCGUCCUUGCCCGCAGCCGCAGCGCCUCCGUCUUUACUGUUGCUCACCUGUGACCCUACUGCUACUUCGUUCCGCGUACUGGGCCCCCGCUGCGGAGAAUGGCUGACGUCCAGCCGCGGUGGUGGCGGCUGGAGCGGCUUUCGGGGAGAGCUGUUCCGCUGUGUUGGACCGCCACCGCCGCCGUUGAUGGUCGUGCCAUUGCUGAGCGGUACCCGAGCUGCGCAGGCGCGUCGCCGGCUGCCGCCGUCUUCGGGCACUGCCUCCUCCGCUGCAGCCUCUGCGCCGUCCGCGGAGCAGCUCACCGAGAUGUUUGUGGACGGGGCUCUCGAGCUAGACAGCGCCGGCGGCGUUUCUUCGGCGACGUCCGCGGCCCCCGCCUCGCACAUUUCGCCCUUGCUGUACAGCGCUGAGGAGUUGGCGGAUCGGCUCUGUCGACUUGGCUCGGCGUUGCCUCGCUACGCCACGGAGGUGUGCGGCGACCGUCUGCGCCCUGCCGACGCGAACUUCGUGCGGGAGGUGCUGCAGCGUCACUGCCUUCCCCUUCUUCUUGCUUGCCAGCGCCGCGGUAUUCAGCAGUGGGGUCUGCGCGGCUGGAUGAAGGGCAUCGCCCUGACUUUGCUGGACAACAGCGGAGCCGAGUCCCGCGUGAUUACCCCGGCGAAGCUCGUGGAGCUGGGGCUGCAACAGGCUAGAUCGGCCGGCGACCGGAAGGCCUUCGCGACGGCGACGACGUUGCGGAUGGUGAUGGACGGCGGGCUUAGUGAGGCGCUCGCGUUUUUGGAACAUGUGCAGAAGCGGCCGCAACGCACGGUGAGACGGCUGCCGGUGCGACGACUGGUGGGUGACAGCGGCGGUAUCGGCAGCAGCGCCGCAUCGCCACCGGCACCGGUGCCCAGCUACACCGUGGUAGUGGUGGAGGCGCUGCUCCUGCGCCGGGCAGAAGAGAGCGCGCUCUUCCGCAUUUUCCAAAGCCACCCCUCUGCACCGCUGCUGGCGGGAUGCGGCGUGCAGAGGCUCGCGUUGCCGCCAGCCGCCACCGCGCCAGAGAGAAGGCGUGGGGGUGGCGGCGGCUAUCUUCCCCCGCCGGGAUCGUCGAUGCUUCUUCUCGUGCGCACGUGCGGCGUGGCCGUGGAUUGGGAUUUGCAGGAUUGCUACGAGCGUCCGAGGUUCUCGCGACUGCGGGAGCCGCGGCGGCUGGUGUCGCACCCCCCUCGCGGCGGCGCUGCCAGCGGGGGUACGCAGUGGCUGCCGCUUCCGCCAGAGCUUGCGAACGCUGUGGAGCGGGUGACGCUGCAGCACAUACGCGGAAUGCUGCAAUACUAUCUGCGCUCGCUAGACGCCACCGCAGCGCCUUUUGCCGCCGGCCGUACCGCCGGUGAUGCACCGCUUGCGAGCGGCGUAAAACGAUCAAGGACAGAUUCGGAGAGCGAGAGUGUGGAGAGGCCCCACGAGCCGCUGUCAAACACCAGCGUAGGACCUGCAGAGCGCAUAACGGGCACGGAGUCAUCAGCAGUGGUGUCACGGGCUGACGCGGGUGGCGCAUCUGUUGCUGAUAUACCACGCACGACGUUGUUCCCCGUUGACCGCGCGGCGGUGCUGUACGUUCUGCGGCACCACCCGCAGUACUACCGGCAGGUGAGGGGGUGCGGAAUCAAGCAGGUGUACGUCGCUGCGGCGACUUUGUCCCCGGAAGAAUCGGCCGCAGUGGUGGCCCGUGCGAAUAUGGCGCCGGAUCGAACUGGCACCCUUGCCGCAGCUGCGGCCACCUCUGCAAGCCGCUCCUCCUCGGCUACUUUGGGGCCUCGCCGAGCGGCGGUCAUUGUUGAGCGGGUUUGCGGUCAAUCCGUCGAGGUGGACGUCGAGGCGUGCUACGACAAGGCGCGUGAGGGUAGGCCACUGCGCCCCUUCGUGAUGCUUACCUAACAGCCGAUGUCGUGUCGGGUGGUGAUGGCCGUCGCCAUGGCUCUGCACUCCUGGAAGGUAGUGCAGCCACAGCUACAUCCAGAGAGAGAGAGCGUUCGUCGAUUGCCCCACCUCGAGUUUCUCUCCUCCGCUGCCUACACACGCACACAGUUGAAAGCGAAGGCGAGUGACUGCGGCGGAGGGGCGGGAGAAGGGACGGGGAAGACUUGCUCUUCGCAUGCAUCGCUUGCCUUGCAUCGACGUCACUGGCGCGAGAAAGAGGGCGGAAGAAAUCGCCCACUUUGACGACGACACGCAGGGGGGGACGGGGCACGGCACAGGCGGCCCACUUGCACGCACACAGACACAGACAAGACACAACGACAACUCAAACGCAUCAGAGCUGCGGAUGCUGGAUGGCACCAUCUUGCCAUUGUGCACACCCGCGCGUGUUGAGCGGAGACGCGAUUCUCGCUCAGCUUGACUCUCCCCAUCUCGCAGUCUCUCC
rnacentral:misc_RNA from 1 species